CAUCUGUGAGUAAUGUGAAAGCUUUCCUGGAUGAGCCCAGGUGACUUCUGCUUUUGUGUCAUUGACAAAAACCAAUUCGCAUGGCCAUCAGAGACUGCAAUUCUCCUACGGCAGCAAGUAUUUUACCUUUCCACUUUCAAUGCAAAGGCUAACUUAUUUUCCCCUUUAAAAAUUUCCAUUGAAGUAAAACGUAC
rnacentral:lncRNA from 1 species